GAUGUCUUUAAUUGCAAGAUCACUGGAAUAUCGAACAUGAAUAAAAGUAACUAUUGUUAACUGAUAUGACAUCGUCAAUAUAUCUUAUUGUUGAGUAGAAGGUCGAAAUCUGUGUUUUCUUCUUCUCAUGUAAAUUUGAAAUAAAUGCUGCUUCAAAGGAAUAUGAAAGUUAGCUACUAAAGACGCACACUCAACAAGGCCAACAGUUGUUGGAAGAUCUUUCCACCUAAGACUACAUAAAUCUUGUCAAUGAGGAACUCCAGCAUGCUUUUAAUAUCAUCUCCAGAGUACUUGUGUAGAACUAGAGUGAUCUUUAACAAAACAAUUUGGUUGAUGACCAAACAAAUUAUAAGAAAAAUACCUACCUACAUUUUUACCGAAGAAGCAGUUAUCAAUGAUAUCAAUUUUUUUUUUUCGAUUUCACUUGAAUGAUGGUUGUAUGAAGAAGGAUAUGUUGAUAAUGAACAGUAUUCAAUAUCAAAGUCCAUAAAACAAUACAAAAUAGGAGCAGAGCAAACAUGGACCUCCGAAACAUCAGAGGUAGGAUAAUUGUAUAAAGUGUAAGGAAGUCGUACCUUUUGAUGUCACCUACUCUCAAUAAAAAUUAAUCAAUUCCCUUUUAUCUUGUUUUCGGACAAAGGAAUACAUAAUAAAAAAGAUCAUAAGGGGUGGAUUAUGAACUUUCUUGAGAGGGGAGAUAACAUAUCCAGUCAUAAAACUCCAGGGUAGAGACUUUCUGAAAAGGAAAAUUCAUAAAAAAAAUCUUCAGAUACAGCAGAGUGUCUUAAAUCCCGUUUUCAAUGAUACUUUAAGAAAGAACAAGGAUGACAUUUUAUGUGGAAUUGCUAUCGUCAGCCUUUGGUUUGAUUUUAUUCGUCGUUGCCAUGGCCUUACCUGGAUUCAUAACUGAAGAGAGUAUCAAAAUGGGCAUCUUUUACGCCAGGAUGUGUGUUCCCAAUCAAUGUUCAACAAGCUCUUACGUAGAUCUGGAUGAGAAGAAUGAAACCAAAGGGCAGCUUUAGCUCUCAAUGAUAGAUAUGCAGAUAGAGAGUCUCCUUGCUGUCGUCCUUGGGGGAGUCGGAUGGUUGAUUCUUUUUUGGAAUACCAAGAGGAAAGUGUCGAUUCCAUCGACGUUUGUGAUUGGGGGAAUUUUACUACUUGUGGCAGUUACAUCUGAGUUCGCUGUCUUGCUUCAAUUUAUCGCCACGAACGUAUCCAGAAAAGCAUCACAAGGGAAAGACAGCACUCUCGGAGUUCCAUACUCAUUAAUACUUGUCGCCUUUGGUAUUUUAUUCAUGCUUGUUGCUGUUAUAAGGAGCUUUAUGUUCUUUAUCAGAAAUGAACAUAAUGAAGAUAAAACGAAGACUUAUCAACAGACAGGGGAUGAACCAGGGAGAAAUAUCAAAACAAAAUAUAAAACUAGAGCUUAAAGCUAAAAGACAUCAUCCUUAAAAUAUGUUAAGAAUUAAAGUUUGCUAUAUUAGAAUAUGUUAUUAUGAUAUUUUUUUAAGUAAUUUAUAUCUUUA